CCACCAUUCAGCUAGUGGUAACCACUGUGGCCACUCCUUGGGUUUCUCAAAAGUCAUGCACCUGAGGUAACACUGAUACAAGUACGACCACGAGGAUGGGCGUGUAAAAGUGUAAUGAACCCAAGGCUUGGAGUGUGCAAGAAAAAUGCAAAAGAGGGCCUUAAACACACACCAAAACCAAACCUACACUACACUCCAUGGGCAAUAUUUUGAGGCUUUUCAUUAAAGGGCCUUUUGGUCAUUUUGUAUUCUAUUUAUAACCUAGUAUAAAUAGAACAUUGUAGAUCAUUUUGUCUUAGAUUUUGCUGAAUAUGAUGAGUGUAUAACACUUGAAAUAUUUCCUCUCUAAGGAGAGAAGACUACCAAUCCGAAACUAGGGUGAUACAAGUGUGGAUUUCACUUGUGUUGCAUUCAAGGCUUGGAAACGAAGGUGCUUGAGGAUAUUGACGUCCCUCUUGUGUCCACGUCCCAUGGAUGACGGUACUUUCAAGGCUGCCCUUGAAGAUGUCCACCGGAACUUUGAAAGACUACAUUACAUACUUGACUCCCCGAAUUCAAAACCAUUAAUCCAACCUCCACUUGACCAAGGAACAACGACCCGUCUUGAAACUAUCCUCCGUGAUUGUGAAAGAUGAGAAAGGGAAUGGAUGCCAUACAAACCACUAUAUCAAAUGCUCCCUUGUGAUGAGAGCUUGUCAAAGGUACAAGCGGAAUGCCAUGACACACAUCAAAGUGAAGACCAUAACUCAUACGAGUUACAAGGUAAAAAUCCUAAUCCCCACACUCUUACAAACUUAGAAUAUUGUGAUGUGGCUAGUAGUAGCCAAAUGAGAGUGGUUUCGGGUUUGCAUAGAUUAUAAGUACACGAGUCUUUCUUUUGUGAUACUCUUGGUAUUGUUAGGAUGCAUGACAACUAACUUCUUAUUGUAAGUAAGCAAGCACUAGUUGAUCCUUUAGAUGACAAAAUUAAUUCUUCUCGUAAGAAUGAUUUAUGUCCAUCUAGAGCUUACACUUAUGAAUUGAAUAAGGUUCCAUUGCUAUGUAAUAAGAGUAUUCACACACUAGUUGACCCUUGUGAAAUUCAAGGUGAGUCUAAGUUGGUAUGUGAGUUGCCAACAACUAGUGAGGAUGUGAAAAAUGAUCAAUCGGGUGACGAUGACCUUGACGUGCUUGAAUGUCUAGACAACCCGAUUAGUAUUUGUUCUUGUGAAGUUGGUUUUGAUUUUGCUCCCUUUUCUGUCUAUAGUGGUUUAUGUAUAUUUAGGGACUACUCUCUUGAAAGAGAAAGUGUUGCAUGCCGAUAAAUGCUAUCUACUCCUUCUUCGUGUGUUUCCUACGUUGGGCUUGCUAAUAAAAAUGAACUUGAAAUUAGUAAGUACUUUCAUGAGGACUCCAUAGUUAGAGUUGACUCAUGUGACACCUUUCCCUACCCUCUUUGUGCUCAUGAUAUUUUCCAUAGUGAUAUAGAGGGUAUGCCUAAUUUUGAGGGCGACACCGUAGGGGAAAGUAAGUAUGGUCGAAAACCAUGGCCAUGGAUACUUCUCCCGUUUGAUCCGGUACCAUCUUAGGGUGGGAAAUGAUUACCUCGGCCUAUUUUCCUUUUGUCUUAAUGCUUGCCCGAGCCACCUCCUGUGUAGCAUUUGUACUAAUCUUUCAUGAUUAAAACAAAGAACCCGUGGCUAUACUUUAAGUUUGUUCUGCCUCGUCAUGGCUUGUUGAUGUGUUAUUUUUGCUAACCUUAAUCCCUCAUAUCAUGAGGAUGUGUGCUUGUUUGUCUUCUCUUUAUUUUGCAAGGUAUGGAUUCGAGGUCGAAUCCUUUUCAAUAAGGGGAGAAUGAUACAAGUACGACCACGAGAAUAGAUGUGUGAAAGUGUAAUGAACCCGAGGCUUGGAGUGUGCAAGAAAAAUUCAAAAGAGGGCCUAAAACACACACCAAAACCGAACCUACACUAUACUCUAUGGGCAACAUUUUGAGGCUUUUCAUUAAAGGGCAUUUUGGCCAUUUUGUAUUCUAUUUAUAACCUAGUAUAAAUAGAAUAUUGUAGGUCAUUUUGUCUUAGAUUUUUCUAAAUAUGAUGAGUGUAUAACACUUGAAACAUUUCCUCUCUAAGGAGAGAAGACCACCAAUCCAAAACUAGGGUGAUACAAGUGUGGAUUUCACUUGUGUUGCAUUCAAAGCUUGGAAACGAAGGUGCUUGGGGAGAUUGACGUCCCUCUUGUGGUCCACGUAUGAGUGUCCGUAUUGUUAUUACAUGUAUUAGUGGUCUUAGUGUUGGAUAUACACUUAGGUUCUUAGUUAUUGUAGUAAUCUAUGUCACACUACCUAUCUUUACAUUUUGUUGUUGCCAUCUUGUUAUUGUUGUGUAGUGGACUGUUUUGGGUCCUUUGUUGAAUCUGGAAAUUUGUGUUAUUGUUGUUCAUAUUGUUCUUCA